rnacentral:tRNA from 1 species
UCUUGCUUACNCCAAGAAAAUGUAUGUGAAAACCAUACCGUUUUGA